CCCUUAGAUGUUCUGGGCAGCACGCGCGCUACAAUGGUCUUCGCAAACGGAUGCAUUCUCGAAGGAGAAUGCCAAUCUUGGAAUCUAUGCCUUGGUCGGGACAGUUGCUUGCAAUUUUUCGACUCGAACCAGGAAUUCCUUGUAAUCGUGAUUCAUCACAUCACGAUGAAUACGUCCCUGCCCUUUGUACACACCGCCCGUCGCUCCUACCGAUCGCAGAGUUAGGUGAAUUGUUUUGAUCGAUAAGAUUUGACUAUGGUCAACUCUCGUUGUGAAAUUCUGUGAAUCUGACUGUUUAGAGGAAGGAAAAGUCGUAACA
rnacentral:rRNA from 1 species